AUUGAACGCUGGCGGCAGGCCUAACACAUGCAAGUCGAGCGGCAGCGGGAAAGUAGCUUGCUACUUUUGCCGGCGAGCGGCGGACGGGUGAGUAAUGCCUGGGAAAUUGCCCAGUCGAGGGGGAUAACAGUUGGAAACGACUGCUAAUACCGCAUACGCCCUACGGGGGAAAGCAGGGGACCUUCGGGCCUUGCGCGAUUGGAUAUGCCCAGGUGGGAUUAGCUAGUUGGUGAGGUAAUGGCUCACCAAGGCGACGAUCCCUAGCUGGUCUGAGAGGAUGAUCAGCCACACUGGAACUGAGACACGGUCCAGACUCCUACGGGAGGCAGCAGUGGGGAAUAUUGCACAAUGGGGGAAACCCUGAUGCAGCCAUGCCGCGUGUGUGAAGAAGGCCUUCGGGUUGUAAAGCACUUUCAGCGAGGAGGAAAGGUUGUUGGCUAAUAUCCAACAGCUGUGACGUUACUCGCAGAAGAAGCACCGGCUAACUCCGUGCCAGCAGCCGCAGUAAGAC
rnacentral:rRNA from 1 species